rnacentral:rRNA from 1 species
CAAUAGCGUAUAUUAUUGAUGUUGCAGUUGAAACGUUCGUAGUCGAACUUUAUCUGCAAAGACUUCGCGUGUGUCAUAGACCACGUGUUUGUUCACUGCAGAAUAGUGUUAGGUCAAGUAUGCGUUUCGUAUGCUUGGUUCUUAACACCAUACUUUGAGUGAAUCGGCGUGUUCCACGCAGGCUUUACGCCCUGAACGAUUUACCAUAGUAUAUCCACAGUAUGGAGGUACCAUCCGAUCUCUUCGAUGGUAUUUUCGAUACAUAAAAGAACGGUCGAGGGCAUUCGUAUUCAACUGCCAGAGGUGAAAUUCUUUGAUUAGUUGAGGACGAACCAUUGCGAAAGCAUCUGCCAAGGACGUUUCUGUUGA